rnacentral:rRNA from 1 species
CCUACGGGUGGCAGCAGUCGAGAAUUAUUCACAAUGGGGGAAACCCUGAUGGUGCGACGCCGCGUGGGGGAAUGAAGGUCUUCGGAUUGUAAACCCCUGUCAUGUGGGAGCAAAUUAAAAAGAUAGUACCACAAGAGGAAGAGACGGCUAACUCUGUGCCAGCAGCCGCGGUAAUACAGAGGUCUCAAGCGUUGUUCGGAAUCACUGGGCGUAAAGGGUGCGUAGGCUGUUUCGUAAGUCGUGUGUGAAAGGCGCGGGCUCAACCAGCGGACGGCACAUGAUACUGCGAGACUAGAGUAAUGGAGGGGGAACCGGAAUUCUCGGUGUAGCAGUGAAAUGCGUAGAUAUCGAGAGGAACACUCGUGGCGAAGGCGGGUUCCUGGACAUUAACUGACGCUGAGGCACGAAGGCCAGGGGAGCGAAAGGGAUUAGAUACCCUUGUAGUC